CCGGGGGCCGCGCGGGGCCACUGAGCUACAACCAAUGUCAGCUCUUUCUGUGUGGCCACAGACCACACUUGUCUGUCUACUUUCUGUUUGAUCUUUCAGCAGUAACUUGCAAGUGACUCACUUGCCAUCAUGAAGUCUUUUUAAUACUCCUGUCUUUGGCUGGGAGUAUGGUCCUGUCUUUGGCUGGGAGUAUGGAUCGACCUGUCAACACCCAUGUUCAGCGGGGAAGCAAUUACAGAAGCCAGACCUUCCACCUUUUGCAUCC